CAACAACAAGUAUUUGAAUCUCCCAAAUGAUGAUUUCUAUUUUAAUUUCACUAAAGAGCCUGAUGGGGCUUGCAGCUGGCCACAUAAAGCGCUGUCUGUUGAUUAUUGGAGAGGUGAACUACAUCAUACUGGCCAUCUGGUAGAAUUAUUUCUCUUUACUCGAAGGUGACUGCAGUAGAUAAGACUAACACGAUGAACUAGAAAAAUUAACUACAAUCUAACUGUUACAGUAAGUAAACUAAGUGAGAGUAGAACAAACCAAAAUAAAAAAGAAAAAAAAUAAAAUUUAAAUAAAGAUAAAUAAAUGUAAGUGCAAUAAAUAAAGUGAAACAGAACUAAAUACAGUGGAUAGAAACUAACUAGGUACAAGGAUAAGAACAAAAAAACAUAAAUGUAACAAAGUUGAAAUAAAACUACUUAAUAUAAAGUAAAGAAACAAAACUAACAAAAUGAAAUAAAGUACAGUAUCUAAACAACAGAACAAAAAAUAAAUAAAAGCAACAAUAAAACAAAUAAAAAGCUUAAAGUAAAAUUGAGUACUCUAACUAAUCUGUUGGCAUAUAAUUGCUCCGUUGCUUACUUUGCGAUUACACGAUAGAUUGUACUAUGAUUUUAGUACAACCUUAUAAUAUGUUACUGAUGGUAUUUGGGUUGUUUACCCUAAUUAAUUCAUUGUUUACUUCACAAUCUCUAUCAACCUUAGUGUUGUUUACCCUUAAGAGACUGAUCCAUUGUUAACUUCACAGCCUCGGUAGCAAAUUAUUUAUCGUCGUGCUACAGUAACAUGCUAUAGUGCGCAACAGUACUGUACAGUAUUUCUACUACAGUACUAUACAGUGCAUAUACUACAGUAAUUUGCUACAGUACAGCUACAGUAAUAAACAGUAAUUAUAAACAGUAAUAAACAGUAACAAGCUGAAACGUAAAGAAAGCUUAAAACCUAAUUAACAAUAAUAAAAUGAAAGAAAAAUGGGCUUUAUUUACAAAAGCACACUUACAUAGAGUCUGAUGAAAUUGAAAUACACACCGUAUAAGCUUUAUGUACACUAAUCAAGUUUAAGCAAACUUAAAUCAAACCACAAGUGCUAAUAUAUGUUAAUACAUGAAUAAACACACUUUUUACAAAAACUCACAUGGAUUACGGCUCAAAUGAUAGAGAACCAAGGUUUCUAUAGAGGAAUCUGUGGAAGAAGUGGAUGGGAUGAGUUUUAAAUGAAGAAAUAGAGAGAGAGAGAUAGGAGAAUGGUUUGUUUUAUGGACAAAGGAGCAAGUGGAUGAGUAUUUUAAUAGAAGUGGGAUAAGAAGAGAUGUUGUAGUGGAGAAGAAGUAAUAAACAAAAAAGAAUAUGGUGGAGGUCUUCUCUGAGAUGGGAUGUGGAGGAGUAUUUUAAUGAUAGAUGGAGGGAAGAGAUGUGAGGUGGUGUCUGGUGGAAGAAAAGGAUGAUGCCUUCACAUGGACCUAUCCCUAAUGAAAGGAACAAAUGAAGGAGGUUAAGGGAGUUUAGAUGAAAAGAAUGAAAGCUUCAUGGAGAAGAUGGAGGGAUGAAGAAGCUUAAUGGAGGAUUGACAGGAAGAAGACGAAGAAAUGAAAGGAGAGAAGAGGAUUAGAAGGAAAGAAAGAAAGGGAGAAUGAAGAAAAGAAAGAGGGACCCUGUCAUCAGAACCGAACCCCUCUCGACCUUGCCUCUUCUUCUGCACUUG
rnacentral:lncRNA from 1 species